rnacentral:lncRNA from 1 species
CCCUGUGACCUGCAUGAAUACAUCCAGAUGGCCUGAAGUAACUGAAGAAUCACAAAAGAAGUGAAAAAAACCGCCAAACAGACAUGGCACAGAUUGAUGGCAAGCAUUUAACCUUCACCAACUGUACUGUCUACAGAAACAAAGUGGAAUAGAGGACUGGGGGCCAAUCAAGGAUAUUGAUUGGAAUCUGUAACCAGAAAGACUCAUAGACAGUGCCUGGUAAACUAGAGCAUAUGACAGUAUGAGUCAUCUAGCAGGCUGCAAGAGAAAGAAAGCUGGGUCAUAAACUUGCUUUUCAGCACUAUCUUGCUACAGAGGAAUUGCUCUGCCUAAUUUGAUUAAAAUUGCAUGUGACGUGAUUGUGUUUUGAAAAGAAAACAUGCUCUUAGUCACUACAUUAUGAUGCAAUUUUGUGAUUAACAUGAGCAAUUUCAGAACAGGAGAUUUCUCACAUGCAAUGGUCUAAUCAAAUUAAAGUAAAUGAAUACAACAUUCAUUAAAGUGAUUUAUUAAAAUCCAUUAAAACGAUACAUAUGAAAUCUAAUCACAGCCAUAGGGAUGCAUGUAUGCCAACACGUAAAUCUGAAGUGGCUACCUCAGUAUUUAUAUAAUCCAGUCACAUCUGGAUCCCCCAAGCAGGACAAUUAGAUAUUACAUAAUAUAAUUAAGGGUAGAGAGCCUAAGGGAAGAAUUAGGUAAAAGGGCAUCAAAUGAUGGAGGAAUAACUCGGCAGAGGAGUGAAAGAGACCCCAUGGAAAUUCAACAGAGGAGAUGAAUGUGUUUAAAAAGAAGAGGAAAUCACAUGGAGAAUGGGAAGAGUGACUUCUGCUCAGUUGUUGAAAAUAGUCUGUAAUUUAUAUUUGCAUGUUUGGUCUUCACAAUAACCCCACUGGAUAGAAAUCUGUGUUCAUCUGCUCAUUGACUCAACAAAUAUUUAUUUAAAACCUACUCUGUGUCAGGCCUUGUUCUCAAUCAUGGAAAUAAAACAGUGGGCAACAGA